CAUAAAACACAUUUUUACGUUUAAAAGCAUAGUCGUUCCUUGGCUUUGGCUGAGUUCACCCUCACGUGGUGGUUUAGCGUGUAGUGAACUCUAAAGCUUUACCUUAGGAGAUACCCUCUGCGCCUCUCGUACUGAGGUAAAAUAUAAUCGGGUUUACCGUGCCUCUCUCUAAUAGGCAGGUCCAUGAAAACCCACCACUGCAGUGACUAAUCAAUAUCCCACCAAAUCAAUAAAAGUUUUGAUAGCAUGACAUGGCAAUUAUAUUACUACCAGCCUGUUAAGGCAUAACAAACAGUUCAUACAAUUUCAACACAAUUUCCAAUUUAGCCAUUCAUGCCAAUAUCACCAUAAGCCAUUCAAUUCAAACCAUAAAUUUACAACACAAUCAAACAGUCUCCAAUUACUCAAUUUCUAAAAUCAUCAUUCAAUUUCAAAAUGAUUUAUAAAACUCAUUUCAUUUAAUCACAUUUUACUUAUAAAACAGAAAGAUUUACCAUUUAAACUCAUUUUUCUAUAAAAUCACAAAAACAAAUAAAAACUACUUUAGAUAAUUAAAAUGAUAAUAAGGUUACUCACAAUAUCGAGAGUCGAAGUACUCCUAGUCUCAAUUUUCAGGUACAAUUUUCUUACCCUUAUCGGAAGUUUCACCACCUAAACAUAAUGCACAACAAGCAAUUUACUAUAUUUGUACUAAACCGUUAUAAAACUAAUUUAGGCUUUAUAUGAAUGCAUGAAAUGGGAUGGGAAAUGUUCGGUUUAUUAUCUAAAUAUGGUGUUCUACGUAGCUUCAAUUAUGUAUCGAAAUAAAAUGGUAUUGGCCUAAUUCGAUCUAUACACCGAUUAAUUGGCCAAUACAUCCAAUUCAACUCCAAUUAACUUCAUUCCACUUCCAACACUCCAUGUAAAACCCGACCCUAUAAACACGUCAUGACAUACAUGCACUAAGUAGCAUGUUAUUAUGCUAGAAAAGUCCUAAGAAUAGACGAAACCCGGUAUUGUACCUAACGGUACACUUGAGUUAAUUUAACCUCGAACUAGUUCAAAUAGGAAUCGUAGAAUGAAAUUUGAUAUUUUACAGUCCAAGAAUGACUAAAAAUGAUUGUUCAGAGUUCGAGGGUUCAUUUGGAAAAAAAUUGAAAAUUUUGAUGUUUAGGGAUAAAAUCGUCAUUUUGCCACCUAAGAUAAUAAUUUGAUCAUGGAGUGAAAUUUUUGACCAAGAUUAACUAUUUGGAGUAUAAUUUAAUGAUAAGAAGUGAAAAAUUUCAAUUUCGGUAAUUUUUGAAACAUAGGGGCAAAACGGUAAUUUUGUCACCUUGGGGUAAAAACCGUAAUUUUCAUCACCCAAAACUUGUCAAAAUCAUACGAUUUACUUAUCUUUGGUAUGAAUAACUAUGGUAUUUUAAGUGGUGAAAAAUUGAAGUUUAAAAAACCAAAUUUUAAAAACGGGCCAACGAGAAAGUGACACAUGGCACUUUUUAAUGAUUUAAUAUUAUUUUAAUGAAAAUUCAGCCCAUUUAAACCCCAUAUUAAGUGAUGGCCGGCCAUAAGGAGAGAACAAGAGAGAAAUAGAGAGGAAAGGAAGAAAAGCGAAAAACCAAAGGAAAACUAGAAAAUUCAAAGGGGAAAUCGCGUUUUUCAUCCGUUUACAUGUCUAACGGUAAGAUUUUUUGACUUUAGCUUGAUUUCUACCUUUUCUAUGCCUUUAUUUUCAUUUAGCAUGCUUGAGGAGAGAGAUCAAAAAGUGAAACCAAGGGCUGGCCGAAUUUCAAGGGGAGAGAUUUUGAAAUUUUUAAGUUUUGAUUCUUAGUUAAAUUAGUAGUUUUAGUUAGUUAAAUGUGUAUAGAAAUCAAAUUGGGUAAGAAAGCAUAAAAUUCUCACAAUACCCACCCUUGGCCGAAUAUGCAUUGAUGUACAAUGAUGAUGAACUGAUUUUUAUUCUAAGAGAAAUGAAGAGAAAAUGAUGAAAAAUGGUUAAAUGUGAUAGAAAAACAAAGUGAAAAAUUAACCAAGUAAAUGUCUCAUUUUUGACCGAAUUUUCCAAGAAGGAAAGUGAGCUGAUUUUUGUGAUUUUAGAAGGUUAUUGGCUGAUAUUUAAUGGUUAGAAAUGUUGGAGAGAAAAUGGGACAAUUUAGAGCUAAAAUGGAGCGCGUUAGCAAUUUAACGGGUAAAGUGCAAAAAAUAGGUUAAUACCGCGUUUAAGCCGUUUUAGGCUAUUGCAUUUCAUACCAUGCAUUAGUAUAGGAUUUAAGUCAAUUAUAUAGUGAUUUAGCAUCAAUGUGGUGAAUUGGAUAAAUUUUGCAAUGUGUUUAGGAGGAGAGCCUUCCGGUAAAGGCAAAGAAGUCAUACCCCGACGAACAGUGAUCGGGGCACCUAAAAAGCAAUUAGUUUAUACAAACGGUGAGUAAACUUAUUAUUAUUGUAAAUUAUCUAGAGUUUAUUUUUAAAUGCUCUUCAUGGAUUUUAUGAAAUGAAAAUGAGAUUAAAAUAGAAUUUUUGAUGUUUUAGAGAUAAAUGUGACAAAUAAAAAUAUAUUUGUGUUGAUUAUGAAAUUGAGUAAUUGGAGGCUGUCAAUUAUUUUGAAAUAUAUAUUUUCCUAUGAAUGGCUUAUCAUAUAUGAGUAUAUGUGGCUAUAUGUUAUAAUUGCAUUGGAAAUUUAUGUAAGUUGUCUUUUAAUAUGCAGGUUAGGUAAAUAAAUAAAAGCCACAUUAUACUGUCGAAAUUUUAUUAAAAUUGGUGGGUUUAGUCACUGCAGUGACGGAUUUCUAUGGAUUGCCUAUUAGAGGGGCACGAUAAACCCGGUUAUAUAGUUGCUCCGGUAGUAGAGGCGAGAAGGGUAACUCCCGGGGUAGUGUUAGAGCUCACUUCACAUCGAACUCCUACGUGAAUGUGUAACUCGGCCAACGCCAAGGAACAACUUGUUUUAAAAAUAAAAAUGUGUUUCACGUGUAAAUAUCUUAACAACCUUGACAGACUCGGUUAGAUGCCUCGGCCAAGGUAUCCCCGAAGAUUAGUUUUGGCUUGAGCCUUAUUUUUAAUAAAAGUCAGAAGCCUUAACAACUGUUUUGGUAAAUUACAAAUAUUUUAUGAUUUAAGAAAUAAAUUGAAAACCUUAUGAAAUGGUUUGUAAUUUGUUGUUUAAACUUGCCUCUAUGUUACUCGCCUUUAAAUAUUUAUGAUAAUGUCUGUUUACUCAUUAGGAUUGCGAAAUCUCACCCACCUCCUUUUCAAAUAUUUCAGGCCAGUGGUAGCUUAUAGAUACCGAUUUUGUCGAGGAUUCCAGUUGACCCCUCUAUCUCACAGACAAUAGGUUACUAUCACCAACACUUGUUGUAUUUAGGGGCCACAUGUCAUUGUAAUUAUUAUUGUACAUUAUAACUUUGUAAAUUAUUAUAUGUAUGAAUUUAUUGUACUUUCACAUUACAAAAGAUUUUUACACGUGUUUCUAUAAAUAUUAUUUUAUAUAAAAAUAUUAUAUUUAAUCAAUAUUUUGAAUAGUAAUAUUUGUCUAUAAAUCCUUUUAAAAUAAUUUUGUCUUUUGAUUUACUUGAGCCGAAAAUGACUGAAAAUUGUUUAAAACUUAUAUGUAAGCCUUGCGAGGUUCCGAUUGGUAUUCCGGGUAAUGAGUAUCAAUUGGGACAUCGCGACGGUUGUCAUGGGCCCGAGGGAGGUUCCGGGUCAUGACAAUUCAGUUGGUAUCAGAGCAAAGGAAAAGAUAACCCUAUUCUUGAGAACUCUCGCACAUGAUCUAUGGCGAAGUAUGACUCUCCGCCCAGGAGCUUGGAAGAUGAGGGAAGGGACUGCUUUACACUUGGGUGGGAGUGAAGUACACCUCUUGCCGAGUGCUCUGAUAGGUACCAUUGAAUGCCGCCGGUGUCCAGAGGGGUGGAAGAAUUUAAUUGGUAUUAGAGCUUUUGGUUUAAAAGCUUAUGGUUUUGAAAGAAGUUUUUUAUUUUUAAAGUUCUUGGAUUCAAAGUUAUUUUAAAAUAAUUUACAAUGUCAGUGUGGCCCAGUUAAGAUUAGUUAGUUGCAUGCAGUUGCAUACAGAGUCUUAAGUCGUCUAAACCAAUUUCGUUCUUUCUGUAGAUCAUUAUGCCUCCUCGACGUGAGCUACCACCUAUCACUAGAUCUAUCGGUAGGGGAAGAGGUCACCCUAGACAGAGUCGGUCGAAUUCCAUAGAAAAGGAGUCGGCUACAUCUUCUUUUAGAGCAGUUCCUACUGCUGAGUCUACUGACAUUCCUAUACCUCCUCCACUACCUGUUGCUGCUCCUGGCAUACCUGCCAUGUCACCCGAGGCAGCUCAGGCAUUAGCGAUUUUUCUCGCUACUCUUACGAGUCAAGCUCAGGCUGGUUCAGUUUCACCCGUUGUUUCCCCUGUAACAGCCCCAGUACCACCACCUCCUAUUUCACCCUAAACACCGGACAUCUCCAUUUCUAAGAAAUUGAAAGAAACUAGACAGUUAGGUUGCGUCUCGUUUACUAAUGAGUUGGAUACGACCGCAGCUAGGGAUUAGGUUAUUCAAGUAUCGGAGACACUGGCAGAUAUGGGAUUAGAUGAUGAGAUGAAAUUGAAGGUGGUUACACGGUUAUUUGAUAAGAGAGCCCGUACUUGGUGGAGUUCAGUAAAGUCUCGCUCUUCUAUACCGCUGGCUUGGAUGGAUUUCCUCCAAGAGUUCGAUGGUCAGUACUACACCUAUUUCCAUCAGAAAGAGAAAAAGAGAGAAUUUCUGAGCUUGAAACAAGGGAACAUGACCAUUGAAGAGUAUGAAACUCACUUUAACGAGCUGACGCUUUAUGUACCUAAGUUGGUGAGAUUGGAGCAAGACCAAGUAAACUACUUUAAAGAGGGAGGUUCCGGGUCGUGACACUCCAAGUCAUCAAUUACAAGUUAAAUAAUAUGUAAUAUCACAAAAACCCAUCAUCAAUAUCUUCCUUGUAAAAUUCGGCCAUUGAAGGUUUAAUGUAGAACAUGUAAUUUUUCAUGCUUGAUUUUUACACCCUACAUCAUAAAACAACUAAAAACACCUAAAUAGCAUGAAAUUCAUCAAAGUCCAUUAUCCAAUUUCUCUCUUGAAAAUUUCAGCCAAGGACUGUGGGUGAAGGGCAUGAAAUUUCUUGCUUGUUUUUCAUGCUAAACAUCACCAAACAACUAAAAACACUAAGAUACCUUGAAAUCUAACCAAAUAAAUCAUCAAAUCUUCUCUCCCUAAAUUCGGUCAGCCAUGAAUCCUUCAUGAGAUCUUGAAUUUUAACCAUGGUAAUUGAAAAAGAAUGCAUAGGAAAGGUAGAUCACAAGCUAGAAUUAAGAAAUUUUACCUUUACUUGCUUAAUUCCUUGAAAUCCAAUGAAUUUUCUCUUGAUUUUCUUCUCUAGGGUUUGUUCUAUGCUUUUUGCCUUUUGUUCUUGCCUUGGCCGACCAAGAGAAAUGAGAUGGGAGAGUUUUAGUUGUGUUUAUAAAGGAAAAUAUAAUAAUAUUAAAGCUUGACACUUGUCACCAUGUAAUUGGUCCAUACAUAAAACUUAAUAAUUAAGCAUUUCUUCUCCACCACAUAAAAUCCCUCAAUUAUCCAAAAUAUAAAAUGAAUUUCAUGGGUUUGACAAGUGUCAAAGUGGUGCAAAAUUCCAAAAAUUCUAAUUACCUCCUUAUGGACACGUGAAAUGACCUUUUUGCCCUUAUGUUCGAAAAAUUAUCGAAAUUAAAAUUUUUCACUUCUCAAGCUCAAAUUAUGUUCCAAAAUGGCAAACUAGAUCAAAAUUUCAUCCACCAUCCCAAAUUUGCCCUCGGGUGGAAAAAUGACCAUUUUACCCCUACAUUAUGAAAAUUCCAAUUUAACUCCAAAUCAAUCCCCGAACUCUAAAUCACCAUAUUAAGUCAUUCUAAAAUUCAAUAACUCUUAAUUGCAUCUUAAAAUCUUUAUUUGAACUAGUUCAAGGCUUAAAUCAACUUAGUUGUACCACUAGGUACACUACCGACUUUUGACGAUUUUUCCAAUGUAUUCAAGUAUGCAAGCAUGUUGUCAAAGACAUGAAUGACAUGGUAAGUAUAUUAUAGGGCUGGGCUUGACAGCAUUGUCCCCCUUAAAAUAAAAUUUUGAUCGAACUCGGAGAAAAGGUAGGGGUAUUGUCUUCUCAUUUGAUGCUUGACUUCCCAUGUUAUCUCCUCCAUACGGGCAUUCUUCCACAACACUUUAACCAUUGGAAUGCUCUUGUUCCUUAAUACUCGAUCCUUUCGAUCUAUAAUACGUACAGGCUGCACCUCGAACUUUAAAUCUUCGUGCAACUCAAUCAAAGGCGUCUCAAAGAUAUGGGAGGGAUCUGGUACAUACUUCUUCAGCAUCGAGACGUGAAAGACGUUGUGAAUCUAAUCCAACUCUGGGGGUAACUCCAAUCUAUAUGCCACUAGCCUAAUCCUUUCAAUAACACGAAAGGGUCUAAUGUAUCUCGAAUUGAGCUUUCCUCACUUUGCGAACCGGAUCACACCUUUCAUUGUCCAACAAGAUACCAGAAUUUACCACAAUAGUAAUUUCAAAUAAAACUUAAUAUCUCAAAGUAUUCAAAUUAUUACCUUUUCAACGAAAGACCUUAAGAAAAUCUUUAUCAUCAAUUUCAAAUUCUAGAUUUUUUCUCUGUCUAUCAAAGUAACUUUUCUGCCUGUCUUGAGCGAUCUUUAAUAGCCUUGGAUGACCUUGAUCUUGUCAUUAAUCACAUCAAUCAGAUCUACAUUAAACAAUUUCCUCUCACCCACUUCAUCCCAACAGAGUGGAGUUCAACACUUUCUCCCAUACAGAGCCUCAUAUGGUGCCAUCCUAAUACUAGAUUGAAAACUAUUGUUAUAUGCAAAUUCCACCAACGGCAAGUGUCUAUCCCAACUGCCCGUAAAGUCAAUGACAUAAGCUCGUAGCAUAUCCUUCAAAGUCUUAUGGUCAUUUCAGACUAACCAUCUGUCUGUGGAUGAAAGGCAGUACUAAACCUCAAAUUAGUUUCGAGAGCUUCUUGGAAUUUUUGCCAAAAUUGAGAAGUGAAUCGGGGGUCUCGAUCUGACACGAUAGAAACUGGAACUCCAUGUAACCUCAUUAUCUCAUCUAUAUAAAGCUUAGCCAGCUUCUCAAUGGAAUACGUGCUAUGGAUAGCCAAGAAAUGGGCAAACUUAGUCAAUCUAUCCACAAUCACCCAUAUAGCAUCCUUCCCACUCUGCGUCCGCGGCAAACCCAAUACAAAGUCCAUAGUCACGUGUUCCCACUUCCAUUCUGAAAUAGGUAAAGGCUGAAGAGUACCCGAUGGUUUCUAAUGUUCCGCCUUGAUGUGUUGGCAUGUGAGACAUUUCACUACAAACUCUGCUACGUCUCGUUUCAUACCCGGCCACCAAUAACUUUCCUUGAUAGUUCUGUACAUUUUGGUGCUUCCGGGAUGUAAAGCAUAGGCAGAAGAAUGAGCUUCCUCCAAAAUAGCUCGUCUCAACUGAUCAUCCUUAGGGACACAAACCCGGUUCCUAAGCAUUAAGAUACCAUCAUCACCAAGUCUGAACUCAUUAGUCUCUCCAUCUCGCAACUUUUGAACUUCUCGUUUCAACUCAUCAUCAGACUUCAGCAAUUCUCUUAUUUGAUUGAACAAUGAAGGUCUCACAACGAAACUAGCAAGUAGGGUUCCAUCCUCACCAUUUCUUAAUUAGAUUCCUAAAGAUUUUAUCUCAAGUAAUAUCGAAAAAUAAGAACUCCGAAGUGUUGCUAAUGAAGAUGAGGAUUUAUGACUUAAAGCAUCUACUACAACAUUUGCCUUCCCAAGGUGAUAAUCAAUCACUAAGUCGUAAUCCUUAGUCAACUCUAACCAUCGUCUCUGUCUCAAGUUAAGCUCUUUCUAGGUGAGCAAGUAUUUCAAACUCUUAUAGUCGGUAAAAAUCCGACAACACUCACCAUAUAAGUAAUGCCUCUAAAUUUUCAAUACAAAGACUAAUGCUGCUAACUCUAAAUCAUGGGUAGGGUAAUUCUUCUCAUGCUUCUUCAACUGUCGGGAAGCAUAAGCUAUCACUUUCUCAUCUUGCAUUAACACGCACCCUAAUCCCAAUUUAAAGGCAUCACUGUACACUACAAAUUCUUUUCCAUUAACAGAAAGUGUCAAAACGAGAGCGGAGGUUAACUGAUUCUUCAACUCCUGAAAUCGACUCUCACAGACAUCAUCCCACUCGAACUUAACUCCUUUACGAGUCAAACAAAUCAAAGGAGCAGCUAUCAAUGAGAAUCCCUGAACAAACCUCCUAUAAUAACCGACUAAGCCAAGGAAACUCCGAAUCUCUGUUACCGUUUUCGGUUGCUCCCAUUGUAAAAUUGUCUCAAUCUUCUUGGGAUUGACAUAAAUUCUAGCUCCAAACACAACAUGUCUCAAGAAAACCACUUCCUUCAACCAAAACUCACAUUUAGGAAACUUGGUAUAGAGUUGUUUUUUGCGUAAAGUUUGCAGCACAAUGCGCAAAUGGGAAGCAUGUUCGUUGUCAUUCUUCGAAUAGACCAGAAUGUCAUCUAUGAAUACUAUCACGAACUUAUCUAAGUAUGGAUGGAACACCCUAUUCAUAAGAUCCACAAAAGCUGCUGAGGUAUUAGUCAGACCAAACGGCAUAACCAAAAACUCAUAAUGCCCAUAACGCGUCCUGAAAGCAGUUUUGGGUACAUCCUGCUCCUUAAUCUUCAACUGAUAAUACCCAAACCUCAAAUCAAUCUUAGAAAACACCAUAGCACCUCGUAACUGAUCAAAAAGAUCAUCGAUCCGUGAUAGAGGGUAUUUAUUCUUGAUGGUCACUCGGUUCAGCUGACGAUAAUCGAUACAUAACCGAAGAGUGCCAUCCUUCUUCUUUACAAAUAGGACUGGUGCUCCCCAAAGAGAAGUGCUAGGGCAAAUAAAACCCUUAUCUACCAAAUCUUGCAACUAGACUUUCAGUUCCUUCAACUCCACUGGAGCCAUUCGAUACGGAGGAAGGGAAAUAGGUGUAGUACUCGGGAGUAGAUCAGAAUUUUGAAGUACAACUUCUUUCCAAAAACAAUCCACGUUCGCCCGAUGUGCAGUUAAUCAGUCCAUACCCAAUAUUAAAUCGAAAUCCUGGAUCUCUAGAGGAAUUAAAUCACCUCUAAAUUCUUCCUCACCAACCAUUACCCCACAGUCUCUAUAACAAGUGUUUCUAACUAGCUUUUCUCCUAAAGAGGUGUGAACUACAAUUUCUUCCUCUAAUGGUGACAGGUUUCUAUCAAAAAAUGAUGCAAAUGUCGUGCUCACAUAAGACCUGUCCGAGCCAGAAUCUAUUAAGACAUAUGCAUCUUUAUCAAAUAAAAACAUAGUAUCUGUCACUUCAUUGGGUCGAACCCGUGCCUCAUCCUCCGUCACAGCAAAAACUCUUGUCGAAGAACGAGUCUAUGGUCUAGAGGGUGGAUGUGUCAGGGCGUUACUCUCCACAUCGGACCGUAUGGCUACUCUCUGUCUCAGUGGUAACCCAGAAGAAUCUCUCCUUUGCAUAUCUGUGUGAGCUGGUGGAGAUAGAGUAGCUAUAGUAGCUUGUCCAAACCGUGGGCAAGUACUCCUAAUAUGACCCGGUUGACCACAAUGAAAACAUCGUACAGGCUCCCUACACAGCCCAACAUGAUAUUUCUCACAAUUUCUGCGUCUAUUAGAACCUCCAAAACUCUUCGUAGGAAUAGUUAUCACAAAUCUGCUGAAUCUCAGAGGCCUCUGCUGAGGCUGUGGAAAUGGGGGCGGGAAGAUGCUACGGAAGCAGAGGUAAUACUCCUUGAAGCACAUAAAUCCUUGCCUUUUCUAGGUGGCUGACUGGAUGAUGUAUUUGGAUUCCUUCUCUUAGCAAACUCAACCUGAAUCCUCCUAUUCUCAGUCGCAAGCUUCUCAGCCCGUAGAGCCAUCUACACAACCUCUUUAUACUACUCCUUACUUGUCACUGUCAUGCACUCUCUAAUUUCAUUUCGGAGCCCUUCCUCGAAGUAGUUAGCCUGAUCCUACUCGAUUUUCACCAGAUCAGGCAAAUAAGACAUUAGCUCGUUAAAACGAGCCUCAUACUUCUCUAUUGUUAAAUUUCCCUGUUUCAGACUUAAGAACUCUCUCUUCUUUUCCUUUUGAUGAAAAUAAGUGUAAUAUUGGCCAUCGAACUCCCUUAGAAAAUCUGACCAAGUCAAAGGAGUAGUAGAACAAGAUUUUACCGAAUUCCACCAAGUACGGGCCCUCUUUUCAAGUAGUCUUAUGGCCACCAUCAAUUUCAUGUCAUCAUCCAAUUUCAUAUCCGUAAGUGUGUCUGAUACCUAAAUGAUCCAGUCUUUAGCUGCGGUUGCAUCCAGAUCACCCGUAAAAGAAAUGCAACCCAACUGCCUAGCCUCCUUAAGUUUCUUAGAAAUGGAUACAUCAGGUACCUGUGGUGGAACAGGAGGUGGUGGUGGUGGCACUGAAUGAGCGACCGGAGGAAUAGCAGAAGAGCUUGACCAGGCUGAGCCUGGCCAGUAAUAGCAGUGAGGAAAGUUACCAAUGCCUGAACUACCUCAGAAGACAUGGCAGGAAUACCAGUAGGUGGUGGAGGAUGUGGAGGAUGUGGAGGAGUCUCGGUUUGCUCAGCAGCAGGUGUUGCCCGAAAAGUGGAUGCAGUCGAUUCCCCCUCUACAGUAUCUGGCUGACGAUGUUGAGAACGACCUCUUCCCCUCCCAGCCGAUCUGGUGAGAGUUGGGUGUUCACGUCGAUGAGGCAUAAUGAUCUAUAAGAAGAGACAGAAUGAAUUUAGACAACUUUAGGUUCUAUAUGCAAUUGUAUGCAUUCAACUCAAUCUAAUCUAACUUAACUUAGGGCCACAUUGACAUUGUAAUUUUUAAAACAACUUUAAAACCAAAAGAUCUAAUACCAAUCAAAUUGUCAUGACCUAGUACUCUCCUCGAGCCCGUGAAAAUAGUAGUAAUGUCCCGAUAGACAUUCAUUACCCUGAAUGCCAAUCGAAACCUCGCAAGGCUUAAUAUCAGUUUUCGCAUCUCCCCUGUGAGCAAUAAUUACUAAAUAUCAUAUUUUAAAAGAUUAUAAGCUAUUUCCAAAUCAAAACAAUAAUAAAAAAAAUUUUCUGUCUCACAAGGGCAUUUUGGUCAUUUUUCUCAAAAAUUUUGAAACCUACUAAAAAUAUAACAUAUAGGGGAAAAUACACAUUUCAUAACUAAAAACAAGUUUUUAUGUCUAAAACAUUCAUUUAGGGUGAAAUUGUAGCUAAUAGAAUAAAAUAAAAAUAUUAAAUAAAAUAUUCUAUUUUCUUAUAAAAUAAUAUUAAUAGAACUCUGCGUAAAUAAUUUUUUUAGCGUAAAAGCAAAAUAAAUCCAUACAUACAGUAACACAGAUAACCAGAGUAUGUAACUUAAUUUACAAUGACAUGUAGGCCCCCGAAUGACCAAAGGUAACAAAAGCUGUGGACUUAUAAUUUCAAAGGAGGCAAGUCCAAUAAUAACCCUCGAUGUAAUCAACUAUUUAUGGAAUGUCUUGAUCCUAGAAUGAGUGGAAAGGAGGGUGGUGAGUUUAUAUAAACUCAGUGAGUAAACAAACAGCAUCUAAAAUAUCUAAAAUCGAGUAAAUGGAGACAACUUAAAAUAGUUCAUCGUACUAUGAUUCAUAACGUUUCAAACUCAUUUCAACUAAAUAAAAUAAUUUCAUUUCACUCAAAUAAUCAACAUGGCUUAUGAAUUUCUUAAAAAUUUGGCUCGUACCAAAACUCAUUCUCGGGGAUACCUUGGUUGGGGCAUCAAACCGAGUCCACCAAGGCUAUUAAAGAAAAGUUUAUAUACGCAUAAAACACAGUUUUACGUUUAAAAGCAUAGUCGUUCCUUGGCAUUGGCUGAGUUCACCUUCACGUGGUGGUUUAGCGUGUAGUGAACUCUAAAGCUUUACCUUAGGAGAUACCCUCCGCGCCUCUCGUACCAAGGUAAAAUAUAACUGGGUUUACCGUGCUCCUCUCUAAUAGGUUGGUCCACAAAAACCCACCACUGCAGUGACUAAUCAAUAUCCCACCAAAUCAAUAAAAGUUUCGACAGCAUGACAAGGCAAUUAUAUUACUACCCAGCCUGUUAAGACAAAACAAACAGUUCAUACAAUUUCAACACAAUUUCCAAUUCAGCCAUUCAUGCCAAUAUCACCAUAAGCCAUUCAAUUCAAACCAUAAAUUUACAACACAAUCAAACAGUCUCCAAUUACUCAAUUUUUAAAAUCAUCAUUCAAUUUUAAAAUGAUUUAUAAACCUCAUUUCAUUUAAUCACAUUUUACUUAUAAAAUAUAAGGAUUUACCAUUUAAACUCAUUUUUCUAUAAAAUCACAAAAACGAAUAAAAACUACUUUAGAUAAUUAAGACAAUAAUAAAGUUACUCACAAUAUCGGGAGUCGAAGUACCCCUACUCCCAAUCUUCGGGUAUAAUAUCCUUACCCUUAUCCGAAGUUUCACCACCUAAACAUAAUGCACAACAAGCAAUUUACUAUAUUUGUACUAAACCGUUAUAAAACUAAUUUAGGCUCUAUAUGAAUGCAUGAAAUGGGAUGCGAAAUGUUCGGUUUAUUAUCUAAAUAUUGUGUUUCUACGUAGCUUCAAUUAUGUAUCGAAAUAAAAUGGUAUUGGCCUAAUUCGAUCUAUACACCGGUUAAUUGGCCAAUACAUCCAAUUCAACUCCAAUUAACUUGAUUCCACUUCCAACACUCCAAGUCAUCAAUUACAAGUUAAAUAAUAUGUAAUAUCACAAAAGUCCAUCAUCAAUAUCUUCCUUGUAAAAUUCGGCCAUUGAAGGUUUAGUGUAGAACAUGUAAUUUUUCAUGCUUGAUUUUUACACCUUAUAUCAUAAAACAACUAAAAACACCUAAAUAGCAUGAAAUUCAUCAAAGUCCAUUAUCCAAUUUCUCUCUUGAAAAUUUCAGCCAAUGACUGUGGGUGAGGGGCAUGAAAUUUCUUGCUUGUUUUUCAUGCUAAACAUCACCAAACAACUAAAAACAACUAAAUACCUUGAAAUCUAACCAAAUAAAUCAUCAAAUCUUCUCUCCCUAAAUUCGGUCAGCCAUGAAUCCUUCAUGAGAUCUUGAAUUUUAACCAUGGUAAUUGAAAAAGAAUGCAUAGGAAAGGUAGAUCACAAGCUAGAAUUAAGAAAUUUUACCUUUACUUGCUUAAUUCCUUGAAAUCCAAUGAAUUUUCUCUUGAUUUUCUUCUCUAGGGUUUGUUCUAUGCUUUUUCCCUUUUGUUCUUGCCUUGGCCGGC
rnacentral:lncRNA from 1 species